AACGAACGCUGGCGGCAGGCUUAACACAUGCAAGUCGAACGGGCGUAGCAAUACGUCAGUGGCAGACGGGUGAGUAACGCGUGGGAACGUACCUUUUGGUUCGGAACAACACAGGGAAACUUGUGCUAAUACCGGAUAAGCCCUUACGGGGAAAGAUUUAUCGCCGAAAGAUCGGCCCGCGUCUGAUUAGCUAGUUGGUGAGGUAACGGCUCACCAAGGCGACGAUCAGUAGCUGGUCUGAGAGGAUGAUCAGCCACAUUGGGACUGAGACACGGCCCAAACUCCUACGGGAGGCAGCAGUGGGGAAUAUUGGACAAUGGGCGCAAGCCUGAUCCAGCCAUGCCGCGUGAGUGAUGAAGGCCCUAGGGUUGUAAAGCUCUUUUGUGCGGGAAGAUAAUGACGGUACCGCAAGAAUAAGCCCCGGCUAACUUCGUG
rnacentral:rRNA from 1 species